AGUGAACGCUGGCGGCGUGCUUAACACAUGCAAGUCGAACGAGAACGGAUUACAGCUUGCUAUAAUUGUCAGCUAAGUGGCGCACGGGUGAGUAAUGUAUAGGUAAUAUGCCUCUUACUGAGGGAUAACAAAUGGAAACGUUUGCUAAUACCUUAUACUCCUUAUUAACAUAAGUUAAUAAGGGAAAGAUUUAUUGGUAAGAGAUUAGCCUGUAUUGUAUCAGUUAGUUGGUGGGGUAAUGGCUUACCAAGACUAUGACACAUAACUGGUUUGAGAGGAUGAUCAGUCACACUGGAACUGAGACACGGUCCAGACUCCUACGGGAGGCAGCAGUGGGGAAUAUUGCACAAUGGACGAAAGUCUGAUGCAGCAACGCCGCGUGGAGGAUGACACAUUUCGGUGCGUAAACUCCUUUUAUAUGAGAAGAUAAUGACGGUAUUAUAUGAAUAAGCACCGGCUAACUCCGUGCCAGCCGCCGCCGUAACAC
rnacentral:rRNA from 1 species